rnacentral:rRNA from 1 species
UAGGGAAUCUUCGGCAAUGGGGGCAACCCUGACCGAGCAACGCCGCGUGAGUGAAGAAGGUUUUCGGAUCGUAAAGCUCUGUUGUAAGUCAAGAACGGGUGUGAGAGUGGAAAGUUCACACUGUGACGGUAGCUUACCAGAAAGGGACGGCUAACUACGUGCCAGCAGCCGCGGUAAUACGUAGGUCCCGAGCGUUGUCCGGAUUUAUUGGGCGUAAAGCGAGCGCAGGCGGUUUGAUAAGUCU